UACGGGGGGAGCAAGCGUUAUCCGGAUUUACUGGGUUUAAAGGGUGCGUAGGCGGAUUAGUAAGUCAGUGGUGAAAGCCCAUCGCUUAACGGUGGAACUGCCAUUGAUACUGCUAGUCUUGAGUAUGGUUGAGGUGGGCGGAAUGUGUCAUGUAGCGGUGAAAUGCUUAGAUAUGACCCAGAACACCAAUUGCGAAGGCAGCUCGCUAAGCCAUAACUGACGCUGAGGCACGAAAGCGUGGGGAGCAAACAGG
rnacentral:rRNA from 1 species